rnacentral:lncRNA from 1 species
GACUCUGUAAAUUCCCGACAAAAUCGUACCGUCCUCACACCUUAAGUCUCCCAACUAUGCAAAUCAAUUUGGAUAUCUGUUAUACCGAAACCCGAAGUCUUGUUUUUAAGUAACCUAUGAGUAUUUUAUAUUAGCAGCCAACAUCAUCUUAGGUGCACACUACAUAGGGAGACCGAUGCAAAUAAGUGAAUGAUCAUGUGUUAAAUGAAAAAAAA